rnacentral:rRNA from 1 species
UUUUCCGGUUGAUCCUGCCGGAGGACAUUGCUAUUGGGAUUCGAUUUAGCCAUGCUAGUCGUACGAGUUUAGACUCGUGGCGAAUAGCUCAGUAACACGUGGCCAAGCUACCCUUCAGUCCAUACUACCCUCGGGAAACUGAGGCUAAUGAUGGAUACGGUAUGCCAGUUGGAAUACGGCAUACUCCAAACGCUCCGGCGCUGAAGGAUGCGGCUGCGGCCGAUUAGGUAGACGGUGGGGUAACGGCCCACCGUGCCAAUAAUCGGUACGGGUCAUGAGAGUGAGAGCCCGGAGACGGAAUCUGAGACAAGAUUCCGGGCCCUACGGGGCGCAGCAGGCGCGAAACCUUUACACUGCACGCAAGUGCGAUAGGGGAAUCCCGAGUGCGAGGGCAUACUAGCCCUCGCUUUUGUGUACCCUAAGGCGGUACACGAAUAAGAGCUGGGCAAGACCGGUGCCAGCCGCCGCGGUAAUACCGGCAGCUCGAGUGAUGUCCAAUUUUAUUGGGCCUAAAGCGUCCGUAGCUGGCCAGCCAAGUUCGUCGGGAAAUCCACCUGCCCAACAGGUGGGCGUCCGGCGAAAACUGUCUGGCUUGGAACCGGAAGGCUCAGAGGGUACGUCCGGGGUAGGAGUGAAAUCCUGUAAUCCCGGACGGACCACCGAUGGCGAAAGCACUCUGAGAGGACGGAUUCGACAGUGAGGGACGAAAGCUAGGGUCUCGAACCGGAUUAGAUACCCGGGUAGUCCUAGCUGUAAACGAUGCUCGUUAGAUGUGGCACCCACUACGAGUGGGUGCUGUGUCGUANGGAAGCCGCUAAACGAGCCGCCUGGGAAGUACGUCCGCAA